rnacentral:tRNA from 1 species
GUCCAUGUUAGUUUAAAGAGAAUGGGGGUUUUGUAAGUCUCAGGUAGAGUGGGCU